GAUGAACGCUGGCGGCGUGCCUAAUACAUGCAAGUCGAGCGAACGGACGAGAAGCUUGCUUCUCUGAUGUUAGCGGCGGACGGGUGAGUAACACGUGGAUAACCUACCUAUAAGACUGGGAUAACUUCGGGAAACCGGAGCUAAUACCGGAUGAUAUUUUGAACCGCAUGGUUCAAAAGUGAAAGACGGUCUUGCUGUCACUUAUAGAUGGAUCCGCGCUGCAUUAGCUAGUUGGUAAGGUAACGGCUUACCAAGGCAACGAUGCAUAGCCGACCUGAGAGGGUGAUCGGCCACACUGGAACGGAGACACGGUCAAGACUCCUACGGGAGGCAGCAGUAGGGAAUCUUCCGCAAUGGGCGAAAGCCUGACGGAGAAACGCCGCGUGAGUGAUGAAGGUCUUCGGAUCGUAAAACUCUGUUAUUAGGGAAGAACAUAUGUGUAAGUAACUGUGCACAUCUUGACGGUACCUAAUCAGAAAGCCACGGCUAACUACGUG
rnacentral:rRNA from 1 species